GACGAACGCUGGCGGCGUGCUUAACACAUGCAAGUCGAACGAUGAAGCCUAGCUUGCUAGGUGGAUUAGUGGCGAACGGGUGAGUAAUACGUGAGUAACCUACCUUUAACUCUGGGAUAAGCCUGGGAAACUGGGUCUAAUACCGGAUACGACCAAUCUCCGCAUGGGGUGUUGGUGGAAAGCGUUAUGUAGUGGUUAUAGAUGGGCUCACGGCCUAUCAGCUUGUUGGUGAGGUAACGGCUCACCAAGGCGACGACGGGUAGCCGGCCUGAGAGGGUGACCGGCCACACUGGGACUGAGACACGGCCCAGACUCCUACGGGAGGCAGCAGUGGGGAAUAUUGCACAAUGGGCGCAAGCCUGAUGCAGCGACGCCGCGUGAGGGAUGACGGCCUUCGGGUUGUAAACCUCUGUUAGCAGGGAAGAAGAGAGAUUGACGGUACCUGCAGAGAAAGCGCCGGCUAACUACGUGCCAGCAGCCGCGGUAAUACGUAGGGCGCGAGCGUUGUCCGGAAUUAUUGGGCGUAAAGAGCUUGUAGGCGGUUUGUCGCGUCUGCUGUGAAGGCCGGAGCUUAACUCCGUGUAUUGCAGUGGGUACGGGCAGACUAGAGUGCAGUAGGGGAGACUGGAAUUCCUGGUGUAGCGGUGGAAUGCGCAGAUAUCAGGAGGAACACCGAUGGCGAAGGCAGGUCUCUGGGCUGUAACUGACGCUGAGAAGCGAAAGCAUGGGGAGCGAACAGGAUUAGAUACCCUGGUAGUCCAUGCCGUAAACGUUGGGCACUAGGUGUGGGGGACAUUCCACGUUUUCCGCGCCGUAGCUAACGCAUUAAGUGCCCCGCCUGGGGAGUACGGCCGCAAGGCUAAAACUCAAAGAAAUUGACGGGGGCCCGCACAAGCGGCGGAGCAUGCGGAUUAAUUCGAUGCAACGCGAAGAACCUUACCAAGGCUUGACAUAUACUGGACCGCAUCAGAGAUGGUGUUUCCCUUCGGGGCUGGUAUACAGGUGGUGCAUGGUUGUCGUCAGCUCGUGUCGUGUGAUGUUGGGUUAAGUCCCGCAACGAGCGCAACCCUCGUUCUAUGUUGCCAGCACGUUAUGGUGGGGACUCAUAGGAGACUGCCGGGGUCAACUCGGAGGAAGGUGGGGAUGACGUCAAAUCAUCAUGCCCCUUAUGUCUUGGGCUUCACGCAUGCUACAAUGGCCGGUACAGAGGGUUGCGAUACUGUGAGGUGGAGCUAAUCCCUAAAAGCCGGUCUCAGUUCGGAUUGGGGUCUGCAACUCGACCCCAUGAAGUCGGAGUCGCUAGUAAUCGCAGAUCAGCAACGCUGCGGUGAAUACGUUCCCGGGCC
rnacentral:rRNA from 1 species